UACGUAGGGGGCAAGCGUUGUCCGGAUUUAUUGGGCGUAAAGAGCGUGUAGGCGGCCAGACAGGUCAGCUGUGAAAACUCGAGGCUCAACCUCGAGACGUCGGUUGAAACCGUAGCGCUAGAGUCCGGAAGAGGAGAGUGGAAUUCCCGGUGUAGCGGUGAAAUGCGCAGAUAUCAGGAGGAACACCGGUGGCGAAGGCGGGUCUCUGGGCCGAUACUGACGCUGAGGAGCGAAAGCGUGGGGAGCAAACAGG
rnacentral:rRNA from 1 species